GGAGGAUACAGCUCAGUGGUAGAGUGCGUGCUUAGCAUGCAUGAAGUCCUGGGUUUGAUCCCUAGCACUUCCG
rnacentral:tRNA from 1 species